rnacentral:snoRNA from 1 species
AAGACUAUGAUUUCAGGGCUCAUUUCUAUGGUUUGUUACUAGGGAAGUUUUUCUGAUUGUGCAGUAGUCCCCAAAACCAAGAAGAAGAGGCGGCACAGUGUCCUUUCCUG